rnacentral:rRNA from 1 species
CGUGAGGAACUUGCCCAUGAGCGGGGGACAACAUUCGGAAACGGAUGCUAAUACCCCAUAGGUGGAUUGGUCGCAUGACGAAUUCAUUAAAGGUGGCUUUGCUACCACUCAUGGAUAGCCUCGCGGCGUAUUAGCUAGUUGGUAAGGUAAUGGCUUACCAAGGCAGUGAUACGUAGCCGACUUGAGAGGGUGAUCGGCCACACUGGGACUGAGACACGGCCCAG